UCGUUGACUUACAUCAUGAUCUUUUUCUUCCUCAUUCUUAUUUUGGUUUUCGUAUCACGGAUGUUGGUUCGCGCUUUAUGCCAUUUCAACGAGCAAUCUUAUCCAAUCCUACAAAGGAUUGUUCAUGGAACUACUAUCAAAAUUAUUUUGACCAUAUUUCCAGGUGUCAUUCUUUUGUUCAUUGCUAUACCAUCGUUUGCUCUGUUAUACUCAAUGGACGGGGUAUUAGUAGAUCCAGCCAUUACUAUCAAAGCUAUUGGACAUCAAUGGUAUCGGAGUGCGCCUCUUAAUGGGGGUGAUUUAAGUGCAAAAAAAUGUACGGUAUUUCGCGAA
rnacentral:rRNA from 1 species